AAGUAACUUGCCCAAGGUAGAAUAACGUCGAGAAAUCGGCGCUAAUACCUCAUAAUGCAGCGGAUCCGCAUGGAUAUGUUGUUAAAGGUUUACCGCCUUGGGAUAGGCUUGCGUCUGAUUAGCUAGUUGGUGUGGUAACGGCACACCGAGGCUACGAUCAGUAACUGGUCUGAGAGGAUGAUCAGUCACACUGGAACUGAGACACGGUCCAGACUCCUACGGGAGGCAGCAGUGAGGAAUAUUGGGCAAUGCUCGAAAGAGUGACCCAGCAACGCCGCGUGGAGGAUGAAGGUAUUCUAUAUCGUAAACUCCUGUGAGAGCAGACGAAAGACAGAUUAUUAAUCUGGAUGACUGUAUGCUCAGAGGAAGCCCCGGCUAACUACGUG
rnacentral:rRNA from 1 species